rnacentral:rRNA from 1 species
AGCGAACGCUGGCGGCAGGCCUAACACAUGCAAGUCGAACGAACCUUUCGGGGUUAGUGGCGCACGGGUGAGUAACACGUGGGAACGUGCCUUUAGGUUCGGAAUAACUCAGGGAAACUUGUGCUAAUACCGAAUGUGCCCUUCGGGGGAAAGAUUUAUCGCCUUUAGAGCGGCCCGCGUCUGAUUAGCUAGUUGGUUGAGGUAAUGGCUCACCAAGGCGACGAUCAGUAGCUGGUCUGAGAGGAUGAUCAGCCACAUUGGGACUGAGACACGGCCCAAACUCCUACGGGAGGCAGCAGUGGGGAAUCUUGCGCAAUGGGCGAAAGCCUGACGCAGCCAUGCCGCGUGAAUGAUGAAGGUCUUAGGAUUGUAAAAUUCUUUCACCGGGGACGAUAAUGACGGUACCCGGAGAAGAAGCCCCGGCUAACUUCGUG